UCUUUGGUGGCUUAGUGGUUAGAGCAUCUGUCUCAGAUGCUGGAGGUUGUGGGUUCGAACAGCUGCCUCGCUUGGUGCU